CCAGACUCCUACGGGAGGCAGCAGUGGGGAAUAUUGCGCAAUGGGGGAAACCCUGACGCAGCAACGCCGCGUGAAGGAUGACGGCCUUCGGGUUGUAAACUUCUGUCGCAGAGGAAGAAGAAAGUGACGGUACUCUGUGAGAAAGCCACGGCUAACUACGUGCCAGCAGCCGCGGUAAUACGUAGGUGGCGAGCGUUAUCCGGAUUUACUGGGUGUAAAGGGGGCGCAGACGGCGAUGCAAGCCAGGAGUGAAAGCCCGGGGCCCAACCCCGGGACUGCUCUUGGAACUGCGUGGCUAGAGUGCAGGAGGGGCAGGCGGAAUUCCUGGUGUAGCGGUGAAAUGCGUAGAUAUCAGGAGGAACACCGGUGGCGAAGGCGGCCUGCUGGACUGCAACUGACGUUGAGGCCCGAAAGCGUGGGGAGCAAACAGGAUUAGAUACCCUGGUAUG
rnacentral:rRNA from 1 species